rnacentral:rRNA from 1 species
GUGAGAUCACGUAGCCAACCUACCCUAUGGACGGGGAUAACCUCGGGAAACUGAGGAUAAACCCCGAUAGAUCAUUAUACCUGGAACGGUUUAUGGUCCAAAUGAUUCGUCGCCGUAGGAUGGGACUGCGGCCUAUCAGCUUGUUGGUGAGGUAAUGGCCCACCAAGGCUAUUACAGGUACGGGCUCUGAGAGGAGAAGCCCGGAGAUGGGUACUGAGACACGGACCCAGGCCCUAUGGGGCGCAGCAGGCGAGAAAACUUUGCAAUGUGCGCAAGCACGACAAGGUUAAUCCGAGUGUUUCCUGCUAAAGGAAUCUUUUGCCAGUCCUAAAAACACUAGCGAAUAAGGGGUGGGCAAGUUCUGGUGUCAGCCGCCGCGGUAAAACCAGCACCUCAAGUGGUCAGGAGGAUUAUUGGGCCUGAAGUAUCCGUAGCCUGCUCUGUAAGUUUCCGGUUAAAUCCAUUAGCUUAACUGAUGGGCCGCCGGAAAAACUGCAAAGCUAGGGAGUGGGAGAGGUAGACGGUACUCGGUAGGAAGGGGUAAAAUCCUUUGAUCUAUUGAUGACCACCUGUGGCGAAGGCGGUCUACCAGAACACGUUCGACGGUGAGGGAUGAAAGCUGGGGGAGCAAACCGGAUUAGAUACCCGGGUAGUCCCAGCUGU